AGGUAUGAAGAACACGGACUUGAACUCUCCAAUACGUUUUGUAGGGCUUGAUGUCAUCAAGGUAGAAGAAACGAAUAUGCCGUUUAUGUGGAUUUUAUACUGAUUAUUGAGGAGAAUGAUUAUAUGAUUAAAGAUUCUAACAAUCGUAAUCGAAUAUACAGAAGAUUAUAAAGGAAUAUGCGUGUAACAAUGUAGAUUUCGU